CCAAGAUGGUGUUUGAUGUGUAUGUUGUUUAUUGGAGAUCAUCUGUGGAAAGGAGGCACGGAUGCUGGGCUCCUUCUUGGAAAGUCAGAAAUUCCGGAUCUUCUAACAGCAAUUCUGCGGAGGGGAGUGUGAUCUGCAUUGCACAUUUUGUGAAGCCCAGUGGCAAAUGGCUCUGUGGCUGCUUCUCGGCUGAGGGUUUUGUUUUUGACUCGGGCAUGUGGAGUAGAGCCACCUGUGGCCCGUGAGCAGCGAUGAGAAGGCAGGAGAGCUUGCCAAGAUCAGCAUCACUCUGGGCUUUGGCCCAACUGACCAGCCGGUUUCCCUGCCUUGGAAAUUCGGGCUGCCGCGCAGCCAGCUGGCUGGGUGCUCCUGCCAGGGCUGCCUCCCCGGGUGGGGAGGGUCAACAGCUAGGACCACAGGGGCCGCUGGACCCGCCAUGACGGGCGACAGGGAACCUGGAAGGGCAGCUCCUCCAUGUUGCUGCCAAUUUCCCUUUGUCGUUGGCCUCCGUGUCCAUUAAUGAUUCCAGAUAGUCACAUUCUCUUCCCUCUGCCCUCAUCUCAGUACAGAUAUUCAGUCAGUGUAUACCUGAUGAGAGCAGUGGUUGAUAAAAUAUUAUAUUUCUUUGUACUGGUCAGCAGUCAGUGCCGGAGCCCCAGACUUACCACCAGGCACCUCUCCAGGGCCCCCCUAGCCCUCCCCAGGGUCUGAGGGGUGAAGGGCUCAUGCUUUCAGGAGUACAGCACUGUCUAAAGAUUGACCUGCAUCUACCCCACGCUGUUGUUCAAUGCUGUGAACUGAACCUGUGAACUGAACCUCUUUCUUUUUCUUUCUCCCUCUGACCUUAAUUUCCUGCCUUUGACCCCCAAUUCUGCUUUUGGCCAUUCCCUUAUUCUACGAUCCCUCAAACAACCUACAGGCCAGUCUCCUUUGUUCCAGAAUCCUGCGCUGGUUCUCCUUUCCCAUGCUGAAGAACGGCCCACCUUCCUCUGCUUUGGUCCUGGCAGGGAAAGCCAUCUUGGAGGACCACAAGCAGUGGGCUUGAUGAGAUGAGAUCACAGCCCAGCUGACAUUUUGACUGCAGCCUUGUGAGGUCCUGAACAGAGGACCCACGAAGCCCUGCUGGAGUCUUCAUCCAUGGAAGCCUCAAAAUUUAUGACGUCUGAGAAACUUGGUCAGACGCUGACAGGGGCCCAGAUCCUGACGAUGGUACCCCACAUUUCUCAUUAAUGUCCCUGUCUCUCCAGGGCCUGAGUCUGCCACCUACCUGUAAGGAGGGCGACCUGCAGGAGGUGACCAAGCUCUGGCUCCGUGGCUGAGGGCCUGUCCCCAUGGUCAUUGCCUGCAAACCCUAGGAUUAUGGAUCUCAACAUGCAGGAACAGAGAGAGAGCAAGAAUGAGGUCAGUUGAGACAGUCUUGUUCUGCUAAGUUGGGGUGGCAAACUGCGUGUUGAGAAAUGCAAAGCGAUGGAGUGCCCUCUGCCAGAGCACAGCCGCAUGAAUGUCCCCACAGGCCAGGUCGGGGGAGACAGAUCAGGUUGGGGACAAAAAAAAAAAGAGCUCCAACCAAAAAAAUGUAGCUCAGGAUCAGCACCAGGACAGGAUUAAUGCCAGAAUCCAACAGCAGCUUGAUAUUUUCAUAGUUUUCCAUAGGUACUGGGUUUCCCCCCAUAUAUAUCGGUUUUAACUAUUUAACUAUUGACUAUUGACAAACGGUGGUUUGUUUUUUCCAUUAGUUCUUUUAAAAUAAUCCCCAUGUUGUUUUCCACAAACACCGUGUCUGAAGAGCCUGUGCAGCGCAUCACGUUGUUGAUAUGCCCCCAAGCACUGUAAGUUGAGUGGUACACAGAGUAAGAGGGUCCUGCCACAAUCUACAAAACACAAAAUUAACUUUAAGAUGUUACCAUACAUAUUGUAGCUUCUUGCCUGUAUUUUGAAAAUAAAUGAUGCAAGUACUAUUCAUGAGGUCUAUAAACCUUUUUGAUGUGAUGACAAGUCUUUUCCAUUUUAUGGACAAGGCAGGGAGGCCUGGUGGGGUUAAGUCACAUGCUUGAAAAGAUGGGAAACCAUUGCCUUACUGGUGGAGUCAAGGGGACUCCCCUGACCCGGUGGGUGGUGUUUGGGCAGCUACCACGCCGCCACCAGUAACCUGAAAUUAGGAUGAACUUGUACUUCCAUCCAAUGGUUCCUUAGCAGCUGCCCACCUCCAGGAUCGGCUCCCCCCACAGCAUCUGAUACAGCUGAUCCCCUUCCCAGGCCUACUUGUUACCCAGGGAAGUCAUGAAAAGCAUUGUUUUUAGAGACACGAUUAAAAUGCACUUAUAGGGGUGCC